rnacentral:rRNA from 1 species
GUCCUAGCCGUAAACGAUGGGCACUAGGUGUGGGAGGUAUCGACCCCUUCUGUGCCGCAGCUAACGCAUUAAGUGCCCCGCCUGGGGAGUACGGCCGCAAGGUUGAAACUCAAAGGAAUUGACGGGGGCCCCGCACAAGCGGUGGAGCAUGUGGUUCAAUUCGACGCAACGCGAAGAACCUUACCAGGGCUUGACAUCCCACGAACCUUCCCGAAAGGGUCGGGUGCCCGCAAGGGAGCGUGGAGACAGGUGGUGCAUGGCUGUCGU